rnacentral:rRNA from 1 species
GAGACACGCUGGCGGCGUGCUUAACACAUGCAAGUCGAACGGUGACGAGGAGCUUGCUCCUCUGAUCAGUGGCGAACGGGUGAGUACACGUGAGCAACCUGCCCCAGACUCUGGGAUAACAGUUGGAAACAGCUGCUAAUACCGGAUACGAGACGGAGAGGCAUCUCUACCGUCUGGAAAGUUUUUCGGUCUGGGAUGGACUCGCGGCCUAUCAGCUAGUUGGUGAGGUAAUGGCUCACCAAGGCGACGACGGGUAGCCGGCCUGAGAGGGCGACCGGCCACACUGGGACUGAGACACGGCCCAGACUCCUACGGGAGGCAGCAGUGGGGAAUAUUGCACAAUGGGCGAAAGCCUGAUGCAGCGACGCCGCGUGAGGGAUGACGGCCUUCGGGUUGUAAACCUCUUUCAGCAGGGAAGAAGCGAAAGUGACGGUACCUGCAGAAGAAGCACCGGCUAACUACGUG